GGUUAUAGCUCAGUGGUAGAGCACUUGCUCAGCACACAUGAGGCACUGGGUUCGACCCUCAGCACCA
rnacentral:tRNA from 1 species